rnacentral:tRNA from 2 species
AGAGGGCUAGUCCAAAAAAGACCUCUGAUUUCGGCUCAGAAAAUUGUGGUUAAAGUCCACGGCCCCCUU